rnacentral:rRNA from 1 species
GUCCACGCUGUAAACUGUGCGCACUAGGUGUGGGAGGUAUCGACCCCUCCCGUGCCGCAGUUAAUACAUUAAGUGCGCCGCCUGGGAAGUACGGCCGCAAGGUUGAAACUCAAAGGAAUUGACGGGGGCCCGCACAAGCGGUGGAGGAUGUUGUUUAAUUCGACGCAACGCGAAGAACCUUACCUGGGCUUGAACCGCGGGAUAAACUCCUGGAAACAGGGGCUGUGGCAACACGAUCCCGUAGAGGUGCUGCAUGGCUGUCGU